GAUUAAACUCCACUUAAAUCCCAUAUUGUGCAUACUAAUUUCUCUCAUAGAAGUAGUAACAUACCAAUUUCCCCCACGAUAUGAAACUGACACGUCGACACUGAUAAUAAUUAAGAAAAUGACAUAAUUCAGGAUAAUCAUAAGUGUCGGUGUCAGACACCUAAUUUAAGGAGUGUCCGUGCUUCAUACCCCAACCUAAAAAUUCAGUUUAAACAAAGACUAUAAACACAUUUAUUCCUCACUUGAUCAGCACUAAAACGCAUUCAUCAGCUUAAAAAUUGGAAAAAGGAAAAAAAAACCAAACAAUCCAAGACUAUAUAAAUUAAUAAUAAAAAAGCAAGCAAUGAGUUGAAAUUUACAACCAACGUAGAAAGCAAAAACAACUAAUGAACACAACAAGGAUGUAAGUGGAUUAAGCUAUGUUUGCGAUUUAACCUAAAUUCUCCAACAUUAAUUAAGGAUCAUUAGAUAAACUCAUAUGGUGUGAAUCAAUCAUUUAUAUAGGAACCAAUAAUUAUUGAAAGCAAAUAAGUAAUAAGUAAUUAGUACUAUAAUUUAAGAACAGAAAACUAAAAAGAGAGAGUUUAAGGUGGUUGUGGUAGUUAC
rnacentral:lncRNA from 1 species